rnacentral:rRNA from 1 species
CUAACACAUGCAAGUCGAGCGGUAGCACAGGAGAGCUUGCUCUCCGGGUGACGAGCGGCGGACGGGUGAGUAAUGUCUGGGAAACUGCCUGAUGGAGGGGGAUAACUACUGGAAACGGUAGCUAAUACCGCAUAACGUCGCAAGACCAAAGUGGGGGACCUUCGGGCCUCAUGCCAUCAGAUGUGCCCAGAUGGGAUUAGCUAGUAGGUGGGGUAAUGGCUCACCUAGGCGACGAUCCCUAGCUGGUCUGAGAGGAUGACCAGCCACACUGGAACUGAGACACGGUCCAGACUCCUACGGGAGGCAGCAGUGGGGAAUAUUGCACAAUGGGCGCAAGCCUGAUGCAGCCAUGCCGCGUGUAUGAAGAAGGCCUUCGGGUUGUAAAGUACUUUCAGCGAGGAGGAAGGCAUUAAGGUUAAUAACCUUAGUGAUUGACGUUACUCGCAGAAGAAGCACCGGCUAACUCCGUGCCAGCAGCCGCGGUAAUACGGAGGGUGCAAGCGUUAAUCGGAAUUACUGGGCGUAAAGCGCACGCAGGCGGUUUGUUAAGUCAGAUGUGAAAUCCCCGGGCUCAACCUGGGAACUGCAUUUGAAACUGGCAAGCUUGAGUCUUGUAGAGGGGGGUAGAAUUCCAGGUGUAGCGGUGAAAUGCGUAGAGAUCUGGAGGAAUACCGGUGGCGAAGGCGGCCCCCUGGACAAAGA